rnacentral:rRNA from 1 species
AAUUGCAUUAUAUUAUAGUGUAAUAUCGACUAUGUUGAAUAAAAUUCUGGGUAUAUUUAUGAUAAUGACAUUUUUUGCCCAUGUGUCUUGACCAAAUUACGUGCCAGCAGUCGCGGUAAUACGUAGAAGACUAGUGUUAUUCAUCUUUAAUAGGUUUAAAGGGUACCUAGACGGUAAAUAAAGCCCUGCAUAGCAAAACGGAACUAAUUUACUAGAGUUACUUACAAGGAGGCUAUAAAGUACUAAUGGUGUAGAGAUGAAAUUUUGUAAUACCAUUUUCUGAAAUGAAAGUUAUGGCACUGAUAAAGGCGAAAGCAUCCUCUUAUGUGAUAACUAACGUUGAGGGACGAAGGCUUUGGAUCGCGAAUAGGAUUAGAUACCCUAGUAGUCAAAGCAGACAAUGAUGAGUGUCAUAGAUUAGAUUUAUUCUAUAAAUGAAAGUGUAAGCACUCCACCUCAAGAGUAAUUUGGCAACAUUGGAACUGAAAUCAUUAGACCGUUUCUGAAACCAGUAGUGAAGUAUGUUGUUUAAUUUGAUGAUCCGCAAAACACCUUACCACAACUUGAAUAAAAAUCAAUAUUUUACAAGCGUUGCACGGCUGUCUACAGUUAAUGUCGUGAGACUUUGGUUAGAUCCAUUAAAUUAACGCAAGCCCUUACUUUAUUUCCAAAUAAAGUAGUUCCCCACUAUAUGGAUAUGAUAACA